CGGCAGGCCUAAUACAUGCAAGUCGAACGGUAACAUGAGCGCUUGCGCUUGAUGACGAGUGGCGCACGGGUGCGUAACGCGUAUGCAACCUACCCUUUACUGGGGGAUAGCCCGGAGAAAUUCGGAUUAAUACCCCAUGGUAUUAUUUGAUGGCAUCAGAGAAUAAUUAAAGAUUUAUUGGUAAAGGAUGGGCAUGCGUGACAUUAGUUAGUUGGUGAGGUAACGGCUCACCAAGACGAUGAUGUCUAGGGGUUCUGAGAGGAAGGUCCCCCACACUGGUACUGAGACACGGACCAGACUCCUACGGGAGGCAGCAGUAGGGAAUAUUGGUCAAUGGACGGAAGUCUGAACCAGCCAUGCCGCGUGCAGGAAGACAGCUUUCUGAGUUAUAAACUGCUUUUAUAUAGGAACAAAGAGGCCCUGCGGGGCAAGUUGCGUGUACUAUAUGAAUAAGCACCGGCUAACUCCGUGCCAGCACGCCGCGGUAAUACGGAGGGUGCAAGCGUUGUCCGGAUUUAUUGGGUUAAAGGGUGCGUAGGUGG
rnacentral:rRNA from 1 species